UACGGAGGGUGCAAACGUUGCUCGGAAUCAUUGGGCGUAAAGCGCACGUAGGCGGUCCAGCAAGCGGGGAGUGAAAUCCCUCGGCUUAACCGAGGAAGUGCUUUCCGAACUACUGGACUUGAAUACUGAAGAGGAUCGCGGAAUUCCCGGUGUAGAGGUGAAAUUCGUAGAUAUCGGGAGGAACACCAGUGGCGAAGGCGGCGAUCUGGGCAGAUAUUGACGCUGAGGUGCGAAAGCGUGGGGAGCAAACAGG
rnacentral:rRNA from 1 species